rnacentral:rRNA from 1 species
GAUGAACGCUGGCGGCGUGCCUAAUACAUGCAAGUCGAGCGAACAGACGAGGAGCUUGCUCCUCUGACGUUAGCGGCGGACGGGUGAGUAACACGUGGAUAACCUACCUAUAAGACUGGGAUAACUUCGGGAAACCGGAGCUAAUACCGGAUAAUAUAUUGAACCGCAUGGUUCAAUAGUGAAAGACGGUUUUGCUGUCACUUAUAGAUGGAUCCGCGCCGCAUUAGCUAGUUGGUAAGGUAACGGCUUACCAAGGCAACGAUGCGUAGCCGACCUGAGAGGGUGAUCGGCCACACUGGAACUGAGACACGGUCCAGACUCCUACGGGAGGCAGCAGUAGGGAAUCUUCCGCAAUGGGCGAAAGCCUGACGGAGCAACGCCGCGUGAGUGAUGAAGGUCUUCGGAUCGUAAAACUCUGUUAUUAGGGAAGAACAAAUGUGUAAGUAACUAUGCACGUCUUGACGGUACCUAAUCAGUAAGUCACGGCUAACUACGUG